UCUAAGUGCAUCUGUAAGUUUCCGUGUUCAACUUUGAUCAUCCAUCUUAUUUAAAAUUUUUUAUGACUAAUAUUUUUAUUGUUAUUAGAUGAUGAAAAUGAAUAGUACUUUAUGCGUGACUUAUGUUUUUUUAAUUUUUUUAAAUAAGAUGAACGCGGACACGGAAAUUCAUGGUUAGGUUUAAA
rfam:Oryza punctata chromosome 8, whole genome shotgun sequence.